UGAAGGGUCAGUGGGCUCUAUAGGUUGCUCAUGAACAUCAAAGGGCUGUGGGUAGCCUGAAUCUCCCUAAGUUGUAGUUGCUAUAAGUGUAUUGUGUGGGUUGUGUGCAUCCCUACCUGAAUAUAAGGGUCAGAUGUGCUCUGGAUUUCAUGUUUUCUAGUUUUAACAUAUUUGCAUAAACCCUGCUGAUUAGGUACCUUCCCCAUCUGAAGCUAUGAGCCCGCAGUGCUCCCAUCUGAAGCCAAGUGCUUAGCCUGAGUGAGCUUCACCAGCCCCGCCCACAGCUCCAUCUUAGCCAACUCUCCUUCCAUGGACUAGUAAUUGGAGGGAGGGUUCCAGCCCUGAUAGCUCAGCUGAGUUGGAAGCCCAGCACCCCUGUGUUUUACCCCUGGGCCCCCCGAAUAGAAGAGAAGAGAGAAUAGAAGAGAAGAUGCUCUCACCAAUUGUCCUUCUGCCCUCCACUUUUAUGCUUUCCCAACUAAAUAAAUAGAAAAUGUGUAAAAGGUGAGAUGUGACUGAAAAAUACAACUGAUAUCUACCUCUGGUUUUCACAUACAUACAUGUACACACAUACAUGCAUGCACACACACAGAUACACACAUGCACAUGCAUUCACGCAUGCAAGCAGACACAUACAUGGGCGCACACACAGAGAAUCCCUUACGUUGACCUCUGUCCUGAUACAUUUUGUUUGUUUGUUUGUUUGUUUGAGACAGGAUCUCAUGCAGCCCAGGCUGGCUUCUGACUCACUGGGUAGCAGGGUAUAUAUAUAUAGCCUUGAACUAAUCCUGCUUCCUCUGCCUCUGAGGUGCUGAGAUUCAGGUGUUCACCCACAUGCUCGGAUUUUCCUCAUCAUGUUUAUAUCCUGCUUGGAAAGCUGACAGACAGUGCAGAUGUCACUCCGCUUCACCGCCCAGAUGUCUCUCGGCUGCACAGCAGGAGAAAACAGAUCCUGAACAGAGUUGGGGUUACACGUCUGAGUCUGGGGCCCAGAACCCUGCUCCAGGCUUUGCCAAGCUGGGUUGAUUUGGGGGUUGAGGGAUCUGCUGAGUCUGGCUAUUGAGGCUUUGGGGCUUAUUCCCCAGGAAGUCAUGACAUAUGGUCAAGGGAAGUCAUUCAAACAGAGAGAGGUAGUCAUAGAAAGACAGGUUUGUUGUUGUCUUUCUUCAAAAGGCAAGUUUGAGCUCCCUGAACAGCUUACACAUGAGCAUACACAUGCGUAAAUACACACCUGUACAUACACAUGCACGUGUGCGUGCGCGUGUGCGCACGCGCGCGCACACACACACACACACACGCACGCACGCACACACGCACGCACGCACGCAGACACACACACACACACACACACACACACACUUUGGGAUUGGAUCCAUUACUGGGAGAGUGCUGACUUUGGCUCCCCUGGUGUUUGUUUCUUCUGCUGCUAUGUGCUCUGUCUUGCAUGUGAGAUGCUGCUUGUGUGAGACCCUCACUAGAGGCUGACAGGGUGACAUGCUCCCAGAUGUCCCAAAUCUCUUUUCUUUAUAAUUUUUCAGCCUCAGACCUUUGUGAUAGUAACAGAAAAUGGACUAAGACACCCAUUAAGCCAUCAAAAGUCAUUCUAGUGAGGUUGAUGAUUUUUUUUUUUUUUUUUUUUUUUGCUUAAGAAUGAAACCAUUGCUGGGAGGUGGUGGUAUACACCUUUAAUCCCUCCACUUGGGAGGCAGAAGGUAGUCAGAUCUUUGUGAAUUUGCAGCCAGCCUGGUCUACAAAGCAAGUUCCAGGACAGCCAGAGCUAUGUAGAGAGAGAAACCCUGUCUCAAACAGGGGGGUAGGGUGGGAAAAGAACCAUUAUUUUGCAUACUGAUCUAAAAAUCAUUUUAUUAUUGUCAUGGUUUGAAAGUGAAUGGUGGGUGCCCAGUUGGUGGAACUGUUUGGGAAGGAUUAGGGGGUGUGGCCUUGUUAGAGGAGGUGUGUCACUCAGGGCUGGUUUUGAGGUUUCAAAAGCCCAUGAUGUUCCAGUUAGCUUUCUCUGCCUCCUACUUUUGGUUAAGGCUAUAGGCUCUCAGCUUACUCAUCCAGCGCCAUGCCUGCCUGCUGCAGUGCUUUCCCCACCAUGACGGUCAUAGACUCAGCCUCUGCAACUCUGAGUCCUAAGUUAUACUUGGUCAUGGUGUUUUGUCACAGCAAUUGAAAAAUAGCGAUGACAAUUAUCUUGCUAUUCUAUGAAUUGUCUGGGCUCAGCUAGGAGGGCCUUGUGCUGCAGCCAGGAACAUAUUUGAUGGAGUUAGAGUCCUCAAGACACCUCUCAGGACUGGUAUUUAGUGCUGAGUGUUGGCUGGUCAUUUGGCAGGGCUGAGAUCGGAGGGACUUUGGCCUUCUCAGGAUGCUCUGAGGGGAAAGAUUAUCUAAGUCGACGGUUCUCAACCUUCCUAAUGCUAUGACUCUUUGAUACAGUUCCUCAUGGUGUGGUGAUACCCAACCAUAAAAUUAUGUUUGUUGCUACUUCAUAUCUUUAAUUUUGCUAGUGUUGUGAAGCAUAAUGUAAAUAUCUGAUAUGCAGGAUACCUGAUACGAGACCUUUGUGAAAGGGUCGCAACCCACAGAUUGAGAACCACUGCCCUAGGCCAUCCCUGAAGGAAAGAGGAGAUAGGGGAGGAAGUAGGAGAGGCUGGCCUCCUCAACACUAGACCUGAGCUCUGGGUUGUCUGGCUCCAUUGGACUGUCUGAACUCAUGUAUCUGACAGACCUCUGGCUGCAGUGGACUGUCUGAUGCUUGCGAUCAUAACUGGAGGACCUGUCUAUUGUCGAGGCGCCGCCCUCAGCUUCCUUUCUCGGGUUUCUCCCCUGCCCGCCCCGCCCCCUGCCUUUCCUUCUUGAUGCCUCUCCUUCAGCUUCUGUUCAUUUUUUCCCUUGCCUCGUUGCUCUUGGGAAGCUAUCUGCUGUUCCCAACCUCACCUGUGCCGAGGACCCUCUUGGGCCAACCUACAGCCAAGCCUGAGCGACAGUCCUAAAUGUCCCGUCCCUCUCCUGACCUAAAGCAGAAUUAAUCACCUCCCUCAGAGGGUGCAAAGGCUGUCUGCGCCCCAACUCUCUGCUGUGUGGUUCCUCUUUCCACCAAUCUCCCUGGCUUCCCACUCACAUCAGGCCCUCCAGGGCAUUCCUGGAGGACAGAACAAGCACCACUGGAUCGUCAGAAACCAAGGUGGAAGUCACAGAGGGCGUGAGAGGAAAUGCCCUGGUCCCAGGCUUUCUGGGAAGCAGAGAGAGAAGGCUGGUUAAAAUAAAGAUGGAAGGCGGGGUACGCAGCCCAGCUUGGCUGGAAACCACACUGGUUCAAGCCGAGAGGCCCCAGGAAUGGCAAGCAGCUUCUCCUUGCUCAAAGGAAUUUUUCUGGAAACCAUAAUGGCCGCUGUUUCUAACCGCAGCCUGUCCUUUUUGGCUGAAUCGGUGCAUGCGUGUGGUCAUGGCGGCCAGGCUGGAGCCGGCCCGGGAGUUUCUGCAAUCUGAGCCCCUCCGUGCUGACAAGUGGGGCCCGGUAUUCCUGGACAAGGAACAGGCCCUGCCUUCCCUCUUUCAGCAGAGAGAAAGGUUCUUCGACCGUCUGCUGAACCCAGUCUCUGGGUCUCUCAUAUUCAUUUUUCAUUAGCAGAAGCGGGAUCAGAGGAGCUCCGGACUUGCUCGGCGUCAAGGCGGUAAUUUUGCCAGGGUGGCUGACUGCACAGGGCUCUGGUUGCUGUAAGCACAGGAUGGCUGAGCUGGGCCUGUCAUAGCCUGGCUUUCCCCCUCCUACAUAAUAACAUUGCUCCUGAGGUCAAAGGUGCUGUCGGACAAGAGGGUCCCCACACAGUAUCUGCAUGAUGCCAGCCAUUUGCAUGAACAGCAGCCAGCUGACAGAUGGCCCAUGCAGCCAGGCGCCUGCGCACCAUCAAAUCAUUUACUUUUUUUUUUUUUUUAAAUUUUUACAUAUUUGUAUGGUUAUCAUAUUUAAGUAGCAAUGCUAUGUAUAUGUACUACAUAUA
rnacentral:lncRNA from 1 species